rnacentral:rRNA from 1 species
ACGUAGGGGGGCGAGCGUUGUUCGGAAUUAUUGGGCGUAAAGGGUGCGUAGGCGGUUUGGUAAGUCUUAUGUGAAAUCUACAGGCUCAACUUGUAGUCUGCAUGAGAAACUGCCGGGCUUGAGUAUGGGAGAGGUGAGUGGAAUUCCUGGUGUAGCGGUGAAAUGCGUAGAUAUCAGGAGAAACACCUGUGGCGAAAGCGGCUCACUGGACCAUAACUGACGCUGAUGCACGAAAGCUAGGGGAGCAAACGGGA